GACGAACGCUGGCGGCGUGCUUAACACAUGCAAGUCGAGGGAGGCCGGGCCUUCGGGCCCGAGUCGACCGGCGGACGGGUGAGUAACACGUGACCAACCUACCUUCGAGAGGGGGAUAACCUGGGGAAACCCGGGCUAAUACCGCAUGAAGCACUCUGGUCGCAUGACCUAGGUGUGAAAGGGGGCCUCUGCUUGCAAGCUCUCGCUCGAAGAGGGGGUCGCGACGUAUCAGCUAGUUGGUAGGGUAACGGCCUACCAAGGCUACGACGCGUAGUGGGUCUGAGAGGACGACCCGCCACAUUGGGACUGAGAUACGGCCCAGACUCCUACGGGAGGCAGCAGUGGGGAAUAUUGCGCAAUGGCCGAAAGGCUGACGCAGCGACGCCGUGUGUGGGAGGAAGCCCUUCGGGGUGUAAACCACUGUCAGGGGGAGAAACCAGGGCGGUCGAACAGGCCGUUCUGCUGACGGUACCUCCAAAGGAAGCGCCGGCUAACUCCGUGCCAGCAGCCGCGGUAAGACGGAGGGCGACG
rnacentral:rRNA from 1 species